AGAGAGAGACAUGCGCGCAUAUCAAUAAGCGGAGGAAAAGAAACUAACAAGGAUUCCCUUAGUAACGGCGAGUGAAGCGGGAAGAGCUCAAAUUUGAAAUCUUCAAGGUUUUACCUUGACGAAUUGUAGUUUAAAGAAGUGUUUUCUGCUGAAGUUUUGGUAAAAGUUCUUUGGAAUAGGACAUCAUAGAGGGUGAGAAUCCCGUAUUUGACCAUUAUUUUCAGCUUUGUGAUACACUUUCAAAGAGUCGGAUUGUUUGGGAAUGCAGUCCAAAAUGGGUGGUAAAUUUCAUCUAAAGCUAAAUAUUGGCGAGAGACCGAUAGCGAACAAGUACCGUGAGGGAAAGAUGAAAAGAACUUUGAAAAGAGAGUUAAACAGUACGUGAAAUUGUCAAAAGGGAAGCGUUUGACACCAGUGUUGUUUUCUCGAAAAUCAACUUAAAAAUGGCUCGAUUUUGUAUUGUUGAGACCUUAAAAGCUCACUGUACAUUUUUCGUGUCUUUUUUAAUGCACUUUUCGUUUAACAAGUCAACAUCAGUUUCUUUUGUUGUAAAAGGGUCAUUGGAAGGUGGCUUUCUUUUCGGAGAAAGUGUUUAUAGCCUUUGGCCUCUGCAAUCGGAGAGACUGAGGUCUGCAGCGUAGACUCUUCGGGGUUAGAUACAUUUGUGCUAAGUUAUAGCUUUUUAUAGACAACUUGUUGACUAUAAUUAGUCUUGUAGCUUACUCGCUUAUGCUAUUUUACCUACGCUUAGGAUGUUGAAGAUGUAGCACAUCAU
rnacentral:rRNA from 1 species